GGUGAACGCUGGCGGCGUGCCUAAUACAUGCAAGUCGAGCGAACGGACGAGAAGCUUGCUUUUCUGAUGUUAGCGGCGGACGGGUGAGUAACACGUGGAUAACCUACCUAUAAGACUGGGAUAACUUCGGGAAACCGGAGCUAAUACCGGAUAAUAUUUUGAACCGCAUGGUUCAAAAGUGAAAGACGGUCUUGCUGUCACUUAUAGAUGGAUCCGCGCUGCAUUAGCUAGUUGGUAAGGUAACGGCUUACCAAGGCAACGAUGCAUAGCCGACCUGAGAGGGUGAUCGGCCACACUGGAACUGAGACACGGUCCAGACUCCUACGGGAGGCAGCAGUAGGGAAUCUUCCGCAAUGGGCGAAAGCCUGGCGGAGCAACGCCGCGUGAGUGAUGAAGGUCUUCGGAUCGUAAAACUCUGUUAUUAGGGAAGAACAUAUGUGUAAGUAACUGUGCACAUCUUGACGGUACCUAAUCAGAAAGCCACGGCUAACUACGUG
rnacentral:rRNA from 1 species